rnacentral:sRNA from 1 species
GGGGUUAGAGCCAGUGCGUUGGGCUCGUCCGGCACCUUCUGGUGUGUGCGGCACCUGGUGGGGGUUCGGCACGGAGCCGCACCCAACACUGCCCCGGGCCCCCCCACCCCUGUCCUGAGCCCAGGCGCUUCGCCCUGUCCCACCUAGCUCUGAGCAGCGCCCCCCAGCACCCUGAAUGCGUCCGCAGGACCCCGCGCUCUACCCGCAGGCCCCGCACCCCCUAGCUCUGGGCCGCGCCUCACAUCCCUCCCAGAGCCGCAACACCCCACCCGGCGGGACGCCCUCGAGCAGCCGCUCGUUGCGGGCCUGAAGCGCAGCGCGCCUAUUGGCCAGAGCGGCCGAGGGCGGGAAAAGCGGCCAACGGCUGCCUGGGCCCUCGGGCUGCUGAGGAGAUGGCGUCAGGCUCCAAGGCCUCGGUGCCCGCGGACUCAUUCCGCACCAUCAGCCCGGACAGGCGAGGCGAGAAGGCUGCCUCCGCUGUCUCCGGGGACACGGCGGCCGCGACCACCCUGAAGGGCACCGCGAUCCCAGUGCGGUCGGUGGUGGCCUCCCCUCGCCCGGUGAAGGGGAAAGCGGGCCGGGAGACGGCCAGGCUGCGGCUCCAGCGCCUGCCCGCGGCUCAGGCCGAGGACCCGGGAGAGGCGGCGGCGGCGGAGGAGGAGGAGCCCCUGCUGCCAGUGCCUGAGGAUGAAGAGGAGGCGCAGCCCCUGCCCCCAGUCUGCGUGUCCCGUAUGAGGGGGAUGUGGCGGGACGAGAAGGUGUCGCUAUAUUGCGACGAAGUGCUGCAGGACUGUAAGAAGAUGCUGAUGAAGUUAUGGGUAAAUACCUAUCAGAAAAAUUAAAGUUGAAAGACAAAUGGCUUGGAGUCUGGAAGACUAAUCCCAGUGUAUUCUUUGUGAAAUAUGAAGAAGCUUCUAUCCCUUUUGUUGGUAUAUUGGUUGAGGUAACUUGUGAACCAUACCAAGACUCAUCAUCUCGUUUCAAAGUUACUGUUUCUGUUGCUGAGCCCUUUUCUUCCAACAUUGCAAAUAUUCCAAGAGAUUUGGUUGAUGAGAUUUUGGAGGAACUGGAACACAGUGUGCCUCUUUUGGAAGUGUAUCCUGUUGAGGGACAAGAUACUGAUAUACAUGUUAUUGCUUUGGCCUUGGAAGUUGUCAGGUUUUUUUAUGACUUUCUUUGGAGAGACUGGGAUGAUGAAGAAAGUUGUGAGAAUUAUACUGCACUUAUUGAAGAAAGAAUUAAUUUGUAAGUAUAGUUUAUAAACUUAUACCGCACAUUAGAAAAAAUAAACAUUGUAAUUAUGUUGAUAAUUUUCAGGUGGUGUGAUAUACAGGAUGGAACAAUACCUGGUCCUAUCGCACAACGUUUUAAAAAAACUUUGGAGAAAUAUAAAAACAAACGUGUCGAGCUCAUUGAGUAUCAGAGCAAUAUUAAAGAAGAUCCAUCUGCAGCAGAGGCUGUUGAAUGCUGGAAAAAAUACUAUGAGAUAGUCAUGCUCUGUGGAUUACUGAAAAUGUGGGAAGAUUUACGCCUCCGAGUUCAUGGACCUUUCUUUCCAAGAAUUCUGAGGCGUAGGAAAGGAAAAAGAGAAUUUGGAAAGACUAUAACACAUAUUGUAGCAAAAAUGAUGACUACUGAAAUGAUAAAGGAUUUAUCUUCAGACACACUUCUCCAACAGCAUGAUGAUUUGGAUUUGGCUUUGGAUAAUUGUUAUAGUGGAGAUACAGUAAUAAUUUUUCCAGGAGAAUAUCAAGCUGCAAAUCUUGCUUUGUUGACAGAUGACAUCAUUAUAAAGGGAGUUGGAAAGAGAGAGGAAAUUAUGAUUACUUCUGAACCUUCUCGUGACAGUUUUGUGGUGUCCAAAGCUGACAAUGUGAAACUAAUGCAUCUAUCUUUGAUACAACAAGGGACGGUUGAUGGUAUCGUGGUGGUGGAGUCUGGUCACAUGACUCUAGAAAACUGCAUAUUAAAAUGUGAAGGAACAGGAGUGUGUGUUCUUACAGGGGCUGCUUUGACAAUUACAGACAGUGAAAUAACUGGCGCCCAGGGUGCUGGUGUUGAACUGUAUCCUGGAAGCAUAGCUAUUUUGGAAAGAAAUGAAAUUCAUCACUGUAAUAACCUCAGAACAAGUGACAGUUCAAAAAGCACCUUAGGUGGAGUUAAUAUGAAGGUUCUUCCAGCACCCAAAUUGAAGAUGACUAAUAAUCAUAUUUAUAGCAACAAAGGCUAUGGAGUAAGCAUUCUUCAACCAACGGAACAGUUUUUUAUCAUAGCAGAAGAAGCUCUCAACAAAAGGGCUUCUUCAGGAGAUAAAAAAGAUGAUAAAAUGCUCUUCAAAGUAAUGCAAAAUCUGAAUCUGGAAAUGAAUAAUAAUAAGAUAGAAGCAAACGUCAAGGGGGAUAUCAGAAUAGUCACAAGUUAAAGCGUCUGAAUUGAUGUUAAAGUUUUAUAUUUCACAAAUUUGUUUAAUACAUGAUUCUCAUAUCCCACUGAAAUGGUAGUUUCAAUUCAAAGCUUAAUUAAAAAAUAUUUAAAUAUCA